GAUGAACGCUGGCGGCGUGCCUAAUACAUGCAAGUCGAGCGAACGGACGAGAAGCUUGCUUCUCUGAUGUUAGCGGCGGACGGGUGAGUAACACGUGGAUAACCUACCUAUAAGACUGGGAUAACUUCGGGAAACCGUAGCUAAUACCGGAUAAUAUUUUGAACCGCAUGGUUCAAAAGUGAAAGACGGUCUUGCUGUCACUUAUAGAUGGAUCCGCGCUGCAUUAGCUAGUUGGUAAGGUAACGGCUUACCAAGGCAACGAUGCAUAGCCGACCUGAGAGCGUGAUCGGCCACACUGGAACUGAGACCCCGUCCCGAGUCCUACGGGAGGCCCCAGUCGGGAAUCUUCCGCAAUGGUCGAAAGCCUGACGCAGCGACCCCGCGUCAGUUGUGAAGGUCUUCGGUUCGUAAAGCUCUGUUAUUAGGGAAGAACAUAUGUGUCAGUAACUGUGCACAUCUUGACGGUACCUAAUCAGAAAGCCACGGCUAACUACGUG
rnacentral:rRNA from 1 species